UGAGUGUCGAAAGAUGGGCCACUGGCGUGCAGCUCGGACCCUGUCGCAGGUGGCUGAGCUCGCUGUGUCUGAAUGAACCACGGGAGCUAAACUUAUGUCUGGUGUAGUCUUGGACAGGAUGAUGGCAGCCUCCUUAGGAGAUGACUCCCAAGGGGUCAGCGGCCUGAGGCUCUGAGCAUCGUAAAGACCCUCAGGUGGGCCCGGUCAUGUCAAAGCAUCCCUCGGAGUCAACAGCAGUUUGCAGGUUCUCCACUAAGGCAGUGUCUCCCAGAAAGUUCCCCGAUGCAGCCGACAGCCGGGCCAGCAGAGAAUCCUCCAGCUCUUUCAGAACAAUCUUAAAUUCAUUCUGGGACUUGGUGAGAUUCGCCUGCAAGCGGGACAGAGACCCGGGAAGGGAACUCAAUUGUUGGCAGGGCCUGGCCUCCCCAUCUGGGGGCGGGGGCGCUCACGGGUUCAGAGCCUCUCGACAGCUUAGCCGAGGCCCCUGCAGCUGCCUGUCACGCGCAGUCAGCAAGGGUGUAGGAACCACAGUGGGGCCGGGGACCCCUGUGAGCCCACGGGUGUGGCUCAGACCGCCCAGGAGAGGACUGGUACACUGGGGCUGGUAGCAAAGACAUUCUUGUGGGGUGGGAGUUCAGUGCUUUUGGGUCCGGGGCGCCGCUGUGGACUCCCGUUCUCUCAGUGACGUCGUCACUUGAUUUAGAAUCAGGUUUGGGGGGUCGCUGGGGAGGCGGAGUGACUCAUUUUGUUGUAUAAAGCACACUCGGUGCGACAAGCGGGGGCCCCUUCAGAGUCGCCGGACGUGUGGGCCUUGGAGACCUGCCCCCUGGGUCCGCGCCGCUGCCCUGCUUCUGCCUCAUCGCACCUUUAGCUGCUCCAGGUCCGGGCGCUCCUU